UAGUCCCAGAGACUGCACCGCCAGCCCGCCCUCAGAAUCCGAAAGCCGGCGCCGAGGACCCUGCGUGGGCCUGGGAAGCACAGGGCGCUGGGCAGGCUGGCCUCCAGAGUGGGCACGGAAGCAGCUCAAUCGGCUCAGUUUCCAAGACUGGUCUUGCUCAUCCCUGGAGAUACACUGUACUUUGAUUUCCUACUUAGCAAUGACAAUCGGAAUAAGAAUAUAAAACUUUGCUUGGCUCUUGAACGUGACUGAAAUUCCUAGUCCUGGAGUGGGGGUUAAGCCUUUGAUGAGACAAUGGUGACAAUAAUUAGGGAAGAGCUCUAAAGCUGCAACAUCAAGAGAAACAUCAAGAGAGCCCAGCUGCUCUUGUCUGGAUGCGGUUUGUCGCUGCAAAAGCAUCAUUAUAUCAGAGCAAAAUAUUAUCAUCCUGAAGUUUGGUCCCCAGAAUCAUAACACCGAGAGGUGGUGGCAGCUGUGAGAGCUAGAAGACCCUCACCAGAGACUGACCAGAUGAGGCCGUCAGUCAUGGACUCUUGGCUUUCAAAACCGUGAGAUGAGUAAACCUCUCUUCUUCAUAAAAUAUUCAGGCUCCGAGACUUCCUUAUAGUGAUAGGAAGGGGACUAAGACAUUGGACUUAUUGGUUAUGCACAUGGGAAGGCCAAGAGGGUGCUUUUGGUUUUAAGGUUGGUGGAGUCCAGGAACUCGGCUGAUGGUCUCAACUGUGUUCCAUCCGCCACCCCCACCCCCAUC